GAAGUGAGUGUGUGGGCGGAGGCUCUGAUACGUAGGAGAUCGAUAGCACUCCUAUUAAUCCAGCAUGGUCCACCUCACCCCAUGGGAGGGACAGCAUAGCAUCUGCUGGUGUAAUAUGCACUUGGUUUUGCUGCUGUAGGAGAGAAGUAUGUGCUGUGUAGCCAUCAACGUGCUAAACAGCUCUUCGCGAGCUCCAUCCUCUCAACCUGUCCCAUGACAGCCUUCCCCUGCCGCUCCUUUGCCGACUUCAAGAAAGGGCUGUGCACGGACUGCAACUCGUCUGGGCUCCACGAAUGUCCGCGGCUGGGUUACAACAUCAGCUGGCUGACUCGGGAGCGCCCCGUUCCGUUCCGGCACCUCAGUGUGGUCCUGGAUGUUACGCCGGUCGCCCCUUUUUGCGGUGAGAAGAUGGACGAUCGUGAUUAUUUAAAUGAGUGCUACUGUUUUUCAACAGCGAUCGUAGGUAGAAUUAAGUGGCUCAUCCAUGAGCGUGCUCUGCCUCAACACAGUCGCCCCAUUUCUUCUGGAGCUACACGUCGGAGGAGAUACCCCUUU
ensembl:lncRNA